GCGCUCCUUCCCUUCCCGUGGUCGAGCCGAGACCUCAUAGGUGGGCCUGGGAAACGCAGUCCAUUGUCUCUCCUGGCCAAGUGCACUGCCACAGUCCUGGCUUUCACAUGGUGGCCUCAGGAUGCUGUCAUCCCAGGGGCCUCAGGAAGGCCUCUCUUGAGACAUGGAGAGGUCCUGACCUGAGGGCUGCAUCAAGAUCUUGUCAUUCCACAUCGUGGUUUCCUUUGAGGAUGUGGCUGUACCCCUCUCCCAGGAGGAGUGGGACUGUCUGAUCCCUGCUCAGAGGGGCCUCUACAAGGAUGUGAUGAUGGGGACCUAUGGGAACCUACUCUCAUUAGUAGGUGAAUGGUUAAGCAAACUGUGGUACAUCCAUACCAUGGGAUACGACUCAACAAUCAAAAGGAACUGCCCAGACUUCACCACGAUGCAAUAUAUGCAUGACUUCAAGCUUCCAAACCUGAUGUCAUCUCCAGGCUGGAGCGGGGGGACGAACCAUAGACCCCUCACAUCCUGAGAACUCAGGGGAGCUGGAGCUGGAGGCACAAGAGAGAAGGCUGUGAUUCUAGGAUUGAAAAAGAGGAAAUGAUUCCAAAGCAGGACAUUUCUGAAGAAUUGGAAUCCCAGAGAGCAAAAUCAGAAGAUCAUGUAAGGAAUAUUUUUAAGGAAACUGAAGAGAUGAGUAAAACUGAGGGAAAGUUAGAGAAUUGCUGGAGAAAAUAUGCAGUAGAAGGAGUUAAGAACUCAUUCUCCCAGAAGAGCAAUUUCAGAGAAAUUACCAUGAGGUAUGUGAAAACCCUCUCUAGAGAGAAUGGCCAGAAGUUCAAUGCUGUUGGAGAAAACUGCAUUACAGACUCAAAUCCUGCCAAACAUCUUAGAGGGUCUAGAGAGGAGAGUCUCCAUCCAAGUGUGUCAAGUGUAGAAAACUUGCAACAACAUGAGGACCUCAUUAACCUCCAGAGUUUCCAAUUAGGAGAAAGAGCCUAUCAGACAGAUGUGUUAGUGAAAGUGCCCAGACAGAGCUCAGUUCUUAGUGAGAAUCAGAGGAUGAAUAAUCCAGAGAGAUGGUUUGAGAGUACUGGGUGUGGAAAAACUUACAAUCAGAACAGAGCUUUUAACCAGCACCAGAGAUUUCAUAGUGGAGAGAAGACCUAUGAGCACAAUGAAUGUGGAAAAGCUUUCAGUUGGCCCUCUAUCCUCAGUAAACAUCAGAGAAUCCACACUGGUAAGAAACUCUACACAUGUGAGGAUUGUGGCAAAUCUUUCAGUGUUCACUCAUACUUUAUUCAGCAUUGUAAAAUUCACACUAGAGAAAAACCCUAUGAGUGUAUUAAAUGUGGGAAAGCUUUUAGUA
ensembl:lncRNA ZNF252P zinc finger protein 252, pseudogene